rnacentral:misc_RNA from 1 species
AUGGACGCCGAGAGUGAGUGUAUCGUUUUUAUCUGAACCCUUAUCUUGGCAACAAAAAUUGGCAAAAAUGGGCAAUCAAUUAGUGGGCAUUGCGCCCAGUCAAAUAUUUCCGGUAGAGCACUAUUUGACAGAUCACAGUGAUUUAUUAUUUGAUGUCAAUUUAGGAAGUACUAGAUUCUUCAAAGUGGCUCGAGCCCGUAGUCUGGAGGGGCUGAUAGUUGUAAAAGUGUUCGCAAUUCAUGAUCCAACAUUGCCAUUAUCUACUUAUAAGGACAAGCUGGAGGAGAUCAGGUCAAAGUUAGCCUCUGCUGUCAACUGCCUACCAUUUCAACGAAUGAUUCUCACAGAAAAAGCAGGCUCAAUAAUGCGGGAGUAUGUCAAAUAUUCUCUUUAUGACAGGAUCAGCACUAGGCCAUUUUUAACGAGCAUAGAGAAAAAGUGGAUCACUUUCCAAGUAUUAUACGCUCUUAAUCAAGCUCAUAAGUUCGGUGUUUGUCACGGUGACAUAAAAUUGGAAAAUAUUAUGAUAACUAGUUGGAAUUGGAUAUUACUCACGGAUUUUGCUAGUUUUAAACCAACGUAUUUACCAGAAGAUAAUCCUGCGGAUUUUUCAUAUUUUUUUGAUACUUCCAGAAGAAGAACAUGUUAUAUAGCGCCCGAAAGAUUUGUAAAAACAUUAUCUUCAGAAUUGAGCAAUACAUUGUUAUUACCAGAACAAGAAGUAAAGACAGGUGAUUUGCAUCCGAUGAUGGAUAUUUUUUCUGCAGGCUGUGCUUUAACAGAGUUGUAUAAUGAAGGACAUCCACCAUUCGAUUUUUCACAACUUUUGGCAUAUAGGAACAACGAGUAUUCUGUGAGUAAGCACUUAGACAGUAUAGACGAUCUAGGGAUACGUGAGCUACUUAGUUCAAUGCUGGAAAGAAAUCCAACAAAUAGGAAAAGCGCAGAGAUUUAUCUGGCUCAAACUCGGGGUACCAUCUUUCCGGAAUAUUUUUAUUCCUUUCUCCAGUCUUACAUGCUUAUUUUCUCCGCGGCUCCGAUUUUAUCACCAGACGAGAAAAUAACACGAUUGAAGAAGGACAUUGGCAAUAUUAUAAGUAUACUAAAAGCGGAAGAUAAUGAACGGAUGAAAACGAGUGAAACAAAGCCUGCGGAAACCGCAAAAUCUGGUCAAUGUGAGAGUAAUGUGGAAUCAAUUAAGGAUGAUUCUGGUCACAGCGAAGAAAAUACGAUGGUAGAAGUCGACAGCGAUCAAAGUUCCGAUAAAACCGAUUUAAAUCAAAUUGAUAUGAAGAGCACAACACAAGAUAUUGGCAGUGAUAUUCAAGUGGACGCGGAGCCAGAGAUUAAGUCGCCCGAAGAUAGCAAACAAACUUGUGACGCGGAAUCUAAGAAGUCAAUUUCUACCUCGAGUGAAAUUCUAGAAGGGCUUGUUAUCAUAACUCAACUCGUUACAUCUUGCAUAAGAGGAUUGCAUUACUCGCAAUCCAAAUUGCAUAGUUUAGAGAUAUUAUUAGAAUUGGCUGAAAAUGUUUCUGAUGAGACAAUUCUUGAUAGAAUAUUACCUUAUAUCUUCCAUUUGGUUCAUGAUCCGGCGCCGCGGGUGAGAGUAUCGGCGAUACACACUUUAACAAAGUGUUUACAUCUUGUAAAGUCGAUACCAUCUUCGGAUGUAAACAUAUUCCCUGAGUACAUUCUACCAGGUCUAGCGCACAUAACUCAAGACGAGGCAGUUAUUGUUAGAGCAGCUUAUGCAGAGAAUAUUGCUCAUUUGGCGCACAUCGCUCUACGUUAUUUAGAAAACGCUCAUCUGUCUAACUUGAGUAACAAGGAAGGGCCAAAGCCCAGUUACGAUAGCGAACUGCAAACCUUGCACGAAAUGGUCCAACAAUCAGUGUCCAUGCUGUUAACAGAUCCCAAAAAUUUAGUGAAACAAACAUUAAUGGAGAAUGGAAUAAACAAAUUGUGUGUGUUCUUCGGAAAACAAAAAGCCAAUGAUAUUUUACUUAGUCAUGUUAUCACAUUUUUAAAUGACAAAGAGGACAAGGAACUGAGAGGCUCUUUUUUUGAAUGUAUAGUCGGUGUAGCCGCUUAUGUCGGUUGGCAUAGUAGUCCCAUAUUAAUGCCACUUCUGCAACAAGGUUUAUCCGAUCCUGAAGAAUUUGUAACCACAAAGGCUAUAAAUGCCAUGGCAACACUUACAGAAUUGGGUCUGCUACAUAAAUCUGCUCUUUAUCAAUUAUUAUCUGAAACUAUGGUCUUCCUGGUCCAUCCAAAUCUUUGGAUACGUCAUGCAACCGUCGGCUUUAUUUCCGCGGCAGCAAGAACUCUGAAUGUGGUGGAUGUUCAAUGUAAAGUUCAAACAAUACUCCAACCAUAUCUGAAACAUUCAUUGAUCCAAAUAGAAAAGGAGAUUUUAUUACUCGAGGCACUUGUUCCUCCUAUAUCUAGAAUCGUAUAUGAUUCCGUGGUGAAGUAUAACGAUGUGGAGGAACUAUUCCAAGUACUUGAACAGAGACAGGCAGCCAGAGCAAAAGCCAUAACAGAUGUAGUAUCACCGCAAUACAAUGAUAUGAGUACCUCUUUAAAAAAUCUUUUUAGACGAUUAAGUUCGGAAUCGAUGACUGAGGCAGUUGAGGAUCAAUUGCUAAUCAUGAAACCUCACUUGAUGAAGAUCAACAAGUAUCGCAAUUCCGCGGACACGAAGCAAAAUGUUAUCAAGUCCGUAGACGGUAAACUAGAGUUAAGUCCAAUGAAAGAUAGGAUAAGACAUCAUGUCGUCGUAUUAUAUCCUGAUACUAAGGGAGACUUAACGCUGCCACCUUUCAAGAGAUUGGAUCGAAGAACAUCGGAGACUGUUGGUACAUACGCAACGAUGAAUCAAGAAUGGCGUACGAUGUUUGCAGCUCAAGAUAACGCUCAACACGCUAUUGUUAAAAUGUCAGACAUGACUGGAAGCAGUGGCAGUCCCAGCCAGAGUAUACACAGUGGAGACAUCCAUUUAUCUCCGCAUCAUUGCCUAUCAGAUAUGACCAGCAUUAAUUCUCUCAUGAAUGACCAUUCGCUUCACGAGCGAUCUUAUAUACAAUAUAGAUGUGCGCCCUGUCGCUUAGAAGUACGGCAAUUAACGUACCGGAAGCAAGAGCAACAUGCGGCAGUGUUAAGAACAAAACGUUGGGCUAACAACAUCGCCUGCGAAGCUGGCUCCACAUCACUGCCAAAGGAUUGGAGACCUCGAGGAGUUCCCGUCGCGCAUCUUCACGAACACAGAGCUGCAGUAAAUAGAUUAGUUUCGAUACCGGACACUAACUUGUUCGCAAGUAGUUCCUCCGACGGAUGUAUUAAAAUUUGGGAUGCUAGUAAGAUGGAGGGACGAAAUAUUGCUAAUCGUUCUAGGCAAACGUAUAUGCACAGAGGAGGCCCGCUGGUUGGCUUAACUGUGUGCGACCAAGGGCAAUCUUUAGCAAGCUCUGCGAGCUCUUCUGGAACGGUAUUCGUACUUCGGAUUGAGCCAAACUCGAGUAAAAUGAGCCUGAUUGGCACUCGUCAAUUGGAUCCCCAGGAAGAAGGAAGUGCUGUCGAUCUACAGUAUCUAGAUUCCGGCUCGCAAUCAGUUCUUGUAUACGCCUCCUUGUAUGGAUCGCUAGUAGGUUGGGACCUACGAUGUCCCGGCACAACAUGGCGCUUAGAAAAUGAUUUAAAACAUGGAGUCAUCACGUCAUUUUGCGUAAACAGUCAUCAGCAGUGGUUGACCCUUGGCACGAGUUCCGGUAUUCAUACCUGUUGGGACUUGAGGUUUCAAUUGCCAAUAACGAGUAUCAAGCACCCGACAGGCGCCAGAGUACGAAAGGUGAUUACGCAUCCGAUGGAGCAUUCGUGGAUAAUUUCGGCGGUACAAGGUAACAAUGAGAUAUCCAUGUGGAAUCUAGAGACCGAUCAGCGACAGAUGGUCCUAUGGGCAUCAAAUGCCCCACCGUUGAGUCGUACUCAAGCCGGUCACACUGUAUGUGCCAUGUACGCUGGAUGCAUCGAUUGUUCGGGCUUCCUUUUAGCCGGCGGUACCGAUAUGCGAUUACGCUUCUGGGACUUUGAUAGACCUACCGCUUCUUAUGUUGCUCUGCCCGCUGCUAAUGAUGUUCUCACUCCAAAUUCAUUGGCAUACGAUUUACGUUUGAUAGACGGAACGAACGUCGUGCAGGAGGUAUUGGUGGAUGACGAUUCUAAUCCGUUAUCUGGAAGUGACACAAGAGGAAGAAACAUGGAGGAAGGUGGUCCCGAGACUCCACCCUCCGGUCAGCACGACACAAUCUCCGCUGUAGCUAUGUCGAAUACGUGCAUUCUCACUGGCAGCACAGAUGGUUUGAUACAAGUCUGGAAAUGAUUGUUCUUCUCGGUCCAAAAUUCGAUUACAAAGUUCCUCGCACAGGCGAUAAAAGAUUUUAUCAGUGUAAUGCGGAAUUUCUUCCCGGUAAUAACGAAACCAUUGUGAUCCAAGGUAGUCACGUGGAGGAAUUGUGAUGGCGAUGUAAUUAUGAUAUAACAAUUCCCAUUUUGACAAAAAGCUUUGACAAAAAAUCAUAUAUUUUUAACAAUUUCGUAUAAUUAUCAUUGAUUAUAGGUCUUGUUGGAAAUUAAGGUAUCAUACUAUAUCUCACACAUUGUGUAAAAAAAGUUAACUCUACAAAUCAAAUUAUUUAUUUUCAUCUUUGUUUUACGUAAUUUUUACAAAAUUGAAAAUCUUAUUUCUAAAUAUAAUUUUAUAGAUUAACUAUAGAUGAGUAAAAUUCUCUCACUGUAUUUAAUUAAAACUGUAUUUAAAUUAAACUUUAUAUUGUACAAUUUGCUUAGAUAAUAUUAAAAUGGCUUUUAUUGCUUCUUUAAACUACAAGCAUCAACGUACACACAACACAGCCGUGCUGUACCGAACUCUGUGAUCCUGGACUGUAUAUAAAGUAUGUAAUAUACAUGAUAUUUAAGACUAUGAUUACAAUUGUGCUACGAAGGCGUGCAUUUUUGUUUUUUUAGAAAAUUUGAACGUAAACUUACAUUACAAUGUAACAUAUAUAAUGUAUAUAGCUUAUUUUUAUACGUAAGAUAAGAAGAGAGAGAGAGAGAGAGAGAGAGAGCUUGGAGUAUUACUGAUUUGUAGAUAGAUGGUGAUGACUUAGAAAGUCGAUGUUACACAGAUCGAUAGAUAAGUCUUUGAACUGUAAGUUAGCAGAUAUUUAGUGGGUCUGUACGCGCACUAAAAAUUUAACUGAAAGGUAAAUAAAAGUUAUACUGAGAUGAAGUGACUUUGCAUGAUAGAACACUUUUAAAAUGUCUGAAAAAGAAAUCUAGAAACUACAUUUUUACAGCUUUCGAUCGUAUUCUUUAGCUUUGUUUGUUUGGACUCUGAAAAUUAUUUUUGAUAGUACGAUACGGUUCCUAAUUUCUUUUUCUUGUUUUUAUAUUUAACAAGUGCGAAUACGGACCGAGAAGCGAGGAGUAAUAAAGUUCGCAUACAAAAAGAUGCAAUUGGCGGACAAUUAUCUCCUCACUUCGUACUUUAGUUGAUGAACGCAUACGUAGCUAUAUGUAAUCAUGAAUAUUUGUAUGUAUACUAGCAUUAUGUUUGCUAGCAUUGUCACGGACACAUACGUACACGCAUACUGACUGAAAUACUCAUAACCGGUGGACGUAUACUGUCUAAAACUACGUUGUUACAAUAAAUUCAUAUUUUUAACGCA